rnacentral:rRNA from 1 species
UAUGCUCAGGAUGAACGCCGGCGGUGUGCCUAAUACAUGCAAGUCGAACGCGUUGGCCCAAUUGAUUGAUGGUGCUUGCACCUGAUUGAUUUUGGUCGCCAACGAGUGGCGGACGGGUGAGUAACACGUAGGUAACCUGCCCAGAAGCGGGGGACAACAUUUGGAAACAGAUGCUAAUACCGCAUAACAWCGUUGUUCGCAUGAACAACGCUUAAAAGAUGGCUUCUCGCUAUCACUUCUGGAUGGACCUGCGGUGCAUUAGCUUGUUGGUGGGGUAACGGCCUACCAAGGCGAUGAUGCAUAGCCGAGUUGAGAGACUGAUCGGCCACAAUGGGACUGAGACACGGCCCAUACUCCUACGGGAGGCAGCAGUAGGGAAUCUUCCACAAUGGGCGCAAGCCUGAUGGAGCAACACCGCGUGAGUGAAGAAGGGUUUCGGCUCGUAAAGCUCUGUUGUUAAAGAAGAACACGUAUGAGAGUAACUGUUCAUACGUUGACGGUAUUUAACCAGAAAGUCACGGCUAACUACGUGCCAGCAGCCGCGGUAAUACGUAGGUGGCAAGCGUUAUCCGGAUUUAUUGGGCGUAAAGAGAGUGCAGGCGGUUUUCUAAGUCUGAUGUGAAAGCCUUCGGCUUAACCGGAGAAGUGCAUCGGAAACUGGAUAACUUGAGUGCAGAAGAGGGUAGUGGAACUCCAUGUGUAGCGGUGGAAUGCGUAGAUAUAUGGAAGAACACCAGUGGCGAAGGCGGCUACCUGGUCUGCAACUGACGCUGAGACUCGAAAGCAUGGGUAGCGAACAGGAUUAGAUACCCUGGUAGUCCAUGCCGUAAACGAUGAGUGCUAGGUGUUGGAGGGUUUCCGCCCUUCAGUGCCGGAGCUAACGCAUUAAGCACUCCGCCUGGGGAGUACGACCGCAAGGUUGAAACUCAAAGGAAUUGACGGGGGCCCGCACAAGCGGUGGAGCAUGUGGUUUAAUUCGAAGCUACGCGAAGAACCUUACCAGGUCUUGACAUCUUGCGCCAACCCUAGAGAUAGGGCGUUUCCUUCGGGAACGCAAUGACAGGUGGUGCAUGGUCGUCGUCAGCUCGUGUCGUGAGAUGUUGGGUUAAGUCCCGCAACGAGCGCAACCCUUGUUACUAGUUGCCAGCAUUAAGUUGGGCACUCUAGUGAGACUGCCGGUGACAAACCGGAGGAAGGUGGGGACGACGUCAGAUCAUCAUGCCCCUUAUGACCUGGGCUACACACGUGCUACAAUGGACGGUACAACGAGUCGCGAACUCGCGAGGGCAAGCAAAUCUCUUAAAACCGUUCUCAGUUCGGACUGCAGGCUGCAACUCGCCUGCACGAAGUCGGAAUCGCUAGUAAUCGCGGAUCAGCAUGCCGCGGUGAAUACGUUCCCGGGCCUUGUACACACCGCCCGUCACACCAUGAGAGUUUGUAACACCCAAAGUCGGUGGGGUAACCUUUUAGGAGCCAGCCGCCUAA